AAGGGUGUAGCUCAGUGGUAGAGUGCUUGCUUAGCAUGCACCAGGUCCUGGGUUCAAUCCCCAGUGCCUCCA
rnacentral:tRNA from 1 species